CUGGCCAGAGAGUUCAGCCCAAUAUAAACAGAUCCACAGUGGCAUCAAUUAUCUGUGCAUUUCAGAGGGAAAACCGAAUUGAAGUUAGAGAACGAAUGAGAGUGUGUGUGCCCUGCGAUGGGUUGGCACUCCGUCCAGGGUGUAUCCUGCCUUGAUGCCCGAUGACGCCUGAGAUAGGCACAGGCUCCCCAUGACCCAAGGUAGUUCGGAUAAGCGGUAGAAAAUGAAUGAAUGAAUGAAGUUAGAGAACAUUCAGGUGGACGAACAAGACUUUUUUCAGUUGAACAAGAGCAUGCCAUUGUUGACAUGGUGGUCCAGAACAACACCCUCCGCCUCAAAAGAAAUUCAGCAAAGAAUAACACAGGACAAUCAACUGUUCCACAAUAUCCACCAAUGCAGUCGCUCCACAAUUGACCGUGUUCUAAGAAGAAAUGCUAUCUGAAUGAAGCAAGUAUACAAAAUGCCCUUUGAGAGGAACUCCAUUAGAGUGAAGGAGUUGAGAUUCCAGUUUGUUCAAAGAAUCUUGGAGUUGGAUAGCAGUGCAACUCAUUAUGAGCACCUGUAUAUUGAUGAAGCAGGCUUCAAUCUUCAAAAAAAAGGAGAAGAGGGAGAAAUGUGAUUGGCCAUCGUGCUACAGUCAAUGUCCCUGGACAACGAGGAGGCAACAUCACUCUCUGUGCAGCAAUUUCUACAACUGUUGUUGUGGCACACAAUGCUGUCUUGGGACCAUACAACACAGCAUGGCUCCUAUAUUUUUAAACCUCCUCAAUGAAAUCCUCUUUCCGCAGGGUGAUCAGGAGCAAAUGGUGCGGAAUUUUGUAGUUGUUUGGGACAAUGUCCAAUUCCACCAUUCAGCACUAGUGCGAGAGUGGUUUGAGAAUCACCCACAAUUCAGGAUGGUGUUUCUUCCACCAUAUUCUCCUUUCCUGAAUCCAACUGAGGAAUUCUUCUCCUCUUGGAGAUGGAAAGUACAUGAUCGCAACCCUUACAACCAAGUAAGUCUUCUUCAAGCGAUGGAAGAGGCCUGUGGAGAUAUUGGGGCACAAGCAUGUCAAGGUUGGAUACAGCAUUCAAGGUGUUUUUUCCCACGAUGCAUGACUCGUUAAAAUAUUUUCUGUGAUGUUGAUGAAAUUCUCUGGCCAGAUGUAAUUGAGAGGCAUGAUCAAUAAAAUAAUUGAUUCAAUGAAUGCAGUACAUUUAUCACUUAAUUUUUUAUUUACCUAUGUACUUAUUUGCAUUAUUUAU